rnacentral:tRNA from 1 species
GUUUAAAUAAUUUAAAUAGAAUAGCAAUUUGUGGUAUUGCCAGUGCUUAUAAGCUUUAGACU